rnacentral:lncRNA from 1 species
AUGAGAAGUCAAAUGGGCCUCAGAAACAUCACUCCGAACAAAGCUAGUGGAGGUGAUGGAAUUCCAGUUGAGCUAUUUCAAAUCCUGAAAUAUGAUGCUUUGAAAGAGCUGCACUUAACAUGCCAGCAAAUUUGGAAAACUCACCAGUGGCCACAGGACUGGAAAAGGUCAGUUUUCAUUCCAAUCCCAAAGAAAGGCAAUGCCAAAGAAUGCUCAAACUGCCACACAAUUGUGCUCAUCUCACAUGGUAGUAAAGUGAUGCUCAAAAUUCUCCAAGCCAGGCUGCAACAGUACAUGAACCGUGAACUUCCAGAUGUUCAAGCUGGACUUAGAAAAGGCAGAGAAACCAGAGGUCAAAUUGCCAACAUCCCCUGGAUCAUUGAAAAAGCAAGAGAGUUCCAGAAAAACACCUACUUCUGCUUUACUGACUAUACCAAAGCCUUUGACUGUGUGAAUCACAACAAACUGUGGAAAAUUCUUCAAGAGAUGGGACUACCAGACCACCUGACCUGCCUCCUGAGAAAUCUAUAUGCAGGUCAAGAUGCAUCAGUUAGAACUGGACAAGGAACAACAGACUGGUUUCAAAUAGGGAAAGGAGUAGGUCAAAGUUGUAUAUUGUCACCCUGCUUAUUUAAAUUAUAUAUCGAGUAUAUCAUGCAUAAUGCCGGGCUGGAUGAAGCACAAGCUGGAAUCAAGAUUGCCAGGAGAAAUAUCAGUAACCUCAGAUAUGCAGAUGACACCACCCUUAUGGCAGAAAGUGAAGAACUAAAGAGCCUCAUGAUGAAAGUGAAAGAGGAGAGUGAAGAAGUUGGUUCAAAACUCAACAUUCAAAAAACGAAGAUCAUGGCAUCUGGUCCUAUCACUUCAUGGCAGACAGAUGGGGAAACAACAGAAACAGUGAGCGACUUUACAUUUUUGGGCUCCAAAAUCACUGCAGAUGGUGACUGCAGCCAUGAAAUUAAAAGACACUUGCUCCUUGGAAGAAAAGCUAUGGUUGGCCUAGACAGCAUAUUAAAAAGCAUUGACAUUACUUUGCCGACAAAGGUCCGUCUAGUCAAGGCUAUGGUUUUUCCAGUGGUCAUGUAUGGAUGUGAGAGUUGGCCUAUAAAGAAACCUGCCAAAUUGAUGCUUUUGAGCUGUGGUGUUGGAGAAGAUUCUUGA